AGAGAGAGAGAUAGAGAGAGAGAGAGAGAGAGAGAGAACAGCGGCAACUGCCCGUCCACGUUUUUAAUGUGGUUGUCUUUCCUGUCUCUUCUUUUACUCCGCGAAGUGUCACGACAUCCCCCGUGGUUGUGAGGUUUUUGAUGCUCCCAGCGAGACGACAGCGCGCAACAGGCUGCAGCUUUCCACUUGAAUCCACUCCACUUGAGUGAUCCACGACGAACUGUUGCCAUUUCAGACCGCACCCUGCCAGUCCUGCCCUCCUCUCCCUCUCUCCCUCAUCUGUCCCCGCUUUGCCACCCACCCCGCCUCUCGACUUGGGCACAGUGCGCACGGGAGAAUCCUGUGCACACGCACGCACUUAUAGACUCACAUAAGCACACUGCACUGCCUUGGCAGGCAUGCAACAAACUUCAGCUUUGUCCUUCAAUGCCGCCACUUAUCACUGUCAGCUUUGUCUUUGGUGUUUUUGUGCCCUUGUUGUAGUCUUGUCACCAAUUUAUUUCCCGGAGGAGCAGCACAGUCUACUAGUGGUAGUCUGAUUCCCAAAAUGGUAUGCAUGGAAUUGUCCAACGUUGAGGCUCAGGCGCAACUAAGGGGGCAAAUCCAACCAGCGUUCAACCAAGAGGGCUAAUGGUCCUCUUGAGCAAGGCACACAAACCUCAAAGUGGUCCUGGGUGCCCUUUGUUGGCCCCUGCUCCAGUGUGUCACAAGUUGUAGAGGGGUUAAAUGCUGAAAAAUCCUUGAAGAUUUCAUUAUAAUAUGCCAAAAGGUCAAAGUAAACACAUGCGCCAUUUCGAAUGACAUGCACAACUGCAGAGCCACUGAUAUUUGAGCAUUCCCGCGCUGGUGUGCUCAUGCGUUCAACCGCACGCAUGCAACAGCAGCAACUAUAUGCAAAUUUACGCCACGCUCUUUCAUGGAGGAAACAAUCCCACCAGACAAAACCAGAUUGUGCCCCGCUUCCUGGCUUGGUUUCUUUUUCGUGUGCCUCUUUGGACGGACUCCUUCAAUGUUACUGCUAUGGAUCACAUCCUUGAAGG